rnacentral:tRNA from 1 species
GCGCCCGUGAUAUAAGGCGUAGAAUCAUUGCCCAGAAAGGGCAAGGUGCGGGUUCGAGUCCCGCCUGGCGCA